rnacentral:rRNA from 1 species
ACGCUCGACACCUACUGGAGGCAGCAGUGGGGAAUAUUGCACAAUGGAGGAAACUCUGAUGCAGCGAUGCCGCGUGAGGGAAGAAGGUUUUCGGAUUGUAAACCUCUGUCUUUGGGGACGAUAAUGACGGUACCCAAGGAGGAAGCUCCGGCUAACUACGUGCCAACAGCCGCGGUAAUCUGAGCGGGCUGGCAAGGC